rnacentral:rRNA from 1 species
GAACUGAAGAGUUUGAUCCUGGCUCAGAUUGAACGCUGGCGGCAUGCCUAACACAUGCAAGUCGAACGGAAACAGAUCGCUGUGAUCCCUUCGGGGUGAACUUGAUGCUGUCGAGUGGCGGACGGGUGAGUAAUGCUUGGGAAUCUGCCCAGUAGUGGGGGACAACACGAGGAAACUCGUGCUAAUACCGCAUACGUCCUACGGGAGAAAGUGGGGGAUCUUCGGACCUCACGCUAUUGGAUGAGCCCAAGUCGGAUUAGCUUGUUGGUGGGGUAAAAGCUCACCAAGGCGACGAUCCGUAGCUGGUCUGAGAGGACGAUCAGCCACACUGGGACUGAGACACGGCCCAGACUCCUACGGGAGGCAGCAGUGGGGAAUAUUG